AGCAGCUCCAAGCUGCCCAGACACAGUGCAAGGAGAAGCUGUGUGCUCAGAGCAAAUGUCCGUAACACUCACAAGGUCUGGGCUCUGUUCCCAGCUCAAGCACAGAUGUCUCAUGUGAUCUCAGACACAUCACAUCCCUUCUCAUGCAGAUGAUCCUUUAAUGCUUUGCAGCACGCUCUGAGACUCGCCAGCAGAAGACGGUGCUCCUAUGUUGCUUCUGCGAAGUGAACAAACCAACAAGCAGAAGAGUUCAAACCCCUGAUGAAAGGGAUUAUGAUUUUUGUGCAUGAUGAUAAGACCAGAAGCCAGACUGACAUCUGCAAAGCCCUACCAACAAAGCUUGUUGCCUUGCCUUCAGAGGUGCACAGCAACCCUCUGGUGAGUGAACUGAACCCCUGUCCAGAGGCAGAAGCACAGGGAAAUUCAAGCAACCAGC
ensembl:lncRNA